rnacentral:SRP_RNA from 1 species
ACUGGGCGCGGUGGUGCGUGCAUGUAGUCCCAGCUAAUCGGGAGACUGAGGCUGGAGGAUCCCUUGAGCCCAGGAGUUCUGGGCUGUAGUGCGCUAUGCUGAUCAGGUGUCCACACUAAGUUUGGCAUCAAUAUGGGGACCUCCCGGGAGCCGGGGACCACCAGGUCGCCUAAGGAGGGGUGAACCCACCCAGGUUGGAAACGGAGCAGGUCAAAACUCCCGUGCUGAUCAGUCGUGGGAUCGCGCCUGUGAAUAGCCACUGCACUCCAGCCUGGGCAACAUAGUGAGACCCCAUCUCN